ACUCCUACGGGAGGCAGCAGUGGGGAAUAUUGGACAAUGGGCGAAAGCCUGAUCCAGCCAUGCCGCGUGUGUGAAGAAGGUCUUCGGAUUGUAAAGCACUUUAAGUUGGGAGGAAGGGCAGUUACCUAAUACGUGAUUGUUUUGACGUUACCGACAGAAUAAGCACCGGCUAACUCUGUGCCAGCAGCCGCGGUAAUACAGAGGGUGCAAGCGUUAAUCGGAAUUACUGGGCGUAAAGCGCGCGUAGGUGGUUAGUUAAGUUGGAUGUGAAAUCCCCGGGGCUCAACCUGGGAACUGCAUUCAAAACUGACUGACUAGAGUAUGGUAGAGGGUGGUGGAAUUUCCUGUGUAGCGGUGAAAUGCGUAGAUAUAGGAAGGAACACCAGUGGCGAAGGCGACCACCUGGACUGAUACUGACACUGAGGUGCGAAAGCGUGGGGAGCAAACAGGAUUAGAUACCCU
rnacentral:rRNA from 1 species